rnacentral:lncRNA from 1 species
CUUCAGCGAGCAGCGGCAAACAUGGCUUAUAUAUCCAGCAAGCAACAUGUCCAGCAAAUAUAGAUCCAGUAAGUAAUAUAUAACCAACGAAGGUUCACAACAACAAUAUAUUACAACUUGACAACCAUAACAAAUUGACCAUGAGUCCAAAGUCCACACAGGUACAUAUCCAACAAGGUUCACAAACAAAAGCAUGAGUUCCAAGUUCACACCAAGUAUGAACCUCAAACAUGCAAUGUGCUCCACCGUAGCAUGUAUGCCCACCGUCAACGGCAUCCACGAUGCAAACCUAUAAGUCCAUUACCAAACGCAUGAGUUUUCAAAGUUAAGUUUCAAAUGAUCGAUAAGGCACAAGAGUCAACAAGCAUCAACAUAUAAGGUUCAAAUUGAAGCUAAGAAGUAUGAACAAUACAAGCAUCAACACUUGUGGGCUCUACUAUCAACAAUGCACAAGUUGUAAGUUGAGAAGCACAAAGACAAGACGCAAGCAUCAACAAUGCACAAACAUAGACAACUACCUCGAGUGAUCAUUGUUGCAAGGAGGUCGAAGCGCCAUGAGUCGUAGUGGGAGUCACUGGGCUUGCUUGUCCUGACUGAGAACACUUCAAGCACGAGAAGGUAAGAUGGUAAGAUUCAUGAUCUUUAAGCAUGACUAGUCAACAACCUGUGCGACUGCACGGGCUAGUAAUUUUUCCUAAAAGAGUAUAAAUCAUUGGCAGCUCUUUGUAUUGUUUCAUUUUUUAUGUGAGAAAUAGAGAAUUGUGUUAUGAAACUUGAUUGUAGCGCACUUAAUAUUGUUUCAAUUAGUUGGACAUUAGAUAGUGGAUUAAUAUUUCCAUGGUCUGAGAUUCAUAGUUAUCUUGUGCCUGUCUUGUGAUUGUAUUACAAAUGCUUAUGUUUAACCAAAUAGCUCAAAAUCGGUUCAAAUGAUAGACACAUAUGCAAAUAAUACAUAUCUCUGCUUAUCCUUCUAUGAGGAAGUCCUACCACCAGAUGUGAGCCAAACAUUAUUAUAUUUAUGGCUUAGCUUAAAUCCAUAAUUAUUUAGGUGAGAUCCUCUGCAUCAUAUAUUUCCUAACAGGAAUAUAAGGGUUAAACAUGCCGGCCAUUUAUAUAAAUGUAAAAUGUACAACAUAGUUAAUAUACUGAGAGACUUAUAUGUAUCAAAUACUAACUUUCUUUUUGUAAUAGCACUUGGUUGCACAUUAUCCCGGGAAAAGACCCUUGGAAUGGGCAUUAAAUUCAUUUUCCUAAAUGGGCAUUGGCAGUUCAAUUCUAAAGUAUUACAUGUAAGCAUCAGUAAUCCUCUCUUAGCUUAGUCCGCUUCAAGAAAUCAUAUGAUCCCAUGUCUCCCAUAUUAUGUUGAUCACCACAUACAUCCUAGAUUUAAAGAGAGUAAAUUAGUUUGAAAAAGUCAUCCUAAUAAUUAAAAUGUGGUCGAGCACAUGCACAUGCAUGUAUAAAUAAAAUAGACUGUGCGCAUGAAGUGCAUACCUGCACCCUAGACAUGGGAUACAGCGGGGGAGUGGAUGAGAAGCACACACAGCCACUGUAUGUCCUCGUUGUCGGUAUUCUGCUUGAUUAUCCUCUUCAUCGCUUGUUAAUGUAAAGAAAAACAGUUGGUCAAUAAAGAAUCAUAUACAUUAUUCAAGAAACCAAGCGAUGGUAUAACAAAUAAAUUAGAAGUGAACAAACGGCAAGAUUUAAUUUAUUUUGCAAUUUGUAGGAUUCCCCAACUCGAAGAGAGCUGUUGUUGAAUAUCAUAUGAAAGAAUAACGGAUUUGCAUUAUAUGGAUUUGAGCCACAUAUUACACUAUUUAUAAAAUUGAAUUCAGGUAGCUAGUAAAAUGAUUGUCUUGAUGAUCGUUAACUGAGACCCAUAAAAAUUAAUAUUUUAUUUUCACUCAAUGACCAUAGUUUCUAACGGGAAUAUUGGGGGCACAAAAUGCAAGACAUCAUAUAGAAGUGCAUCCAUAUGAUGAUCAAAUACUGAGAAUCAUUUUCUCGCAAUAGAAGCACAUGGUUACACACAUCCCUCAGAAUCUCACUUAACUGAAAUGGGAGUUUAUUUCUUGUAAUAGUAACAUUUUGUUACACAUAUCCCCUCAAAUAUCCCUUAAGUGGAAUGGACGUUAGUUGACAAUAGUAUAUAGGAAGGCUCCCGAACACAAAAAAAUAGACAUAUGUUGUUCAAGUGCUGCAUACAAAAUGAUGGUGGCAAUAAAUUUGAGCACAUAAAUAUAUAUGAAUAGAAGCAUUGUAGUAAAUGUUCUGUUGGAAAGAUACCAUUGAUGCAACAAAUAAAAAAACCUGAAAUUCAGCAAGGUGCUUGCGUGGGACAUCACGCAUUAGUAAUCUUUUCUUACCUUAGCCCCCUGAAACUAAUCAUAUGAUCCAUGCUGUCCAAAAUUAUAUGAGCUCAUCAUCCAUGAAUGAAGCGAAAAGGUGUAAAGUAGUGAUAAGAAAUCAUCCUAAUAAUCAAACCUCUAGCCCAGUAUGCACCCUGUAUAAAAUAGAAAUCUAUGAAGUCAUUAC